UGUUAGGCAUUUACCUAACUGGAAAUGCUUAAAUGAAUUAGCGUUACAAGUGGGCUCUGACCGGUAAGCGGUCAUGGCGAAAUGGGAUGAACCAUACGUCUGAAUAAGGUGCCGAAAUGUACUAUCACUGAUACCAUAAAGGGAGUCCAUGUAUUUAGACAGCAGGUCGGUGCCCCUAAAAGCAGGUAUCCGCUAAAGAGUGUGUUAAAACUCACCUGCCGAAUACUAGGGCCCCGAAAAUGAAUGGCGCAUAUAGUACUACCGAUCUCAGACAUCAGUUCUAUUGAACUGAGAGUAGGGGGAUGUGGACAUUUUUGUGAAGGUGCAAUGUGAGUUGGACUGGAAGAAUGUCUAUUACAGAUCCUAAUUGAAGUAGCGAUUAUCCAGGCUUGUAUCCUGGGGGCUGAUGAGGAGUAGGGUUUCUGGACAACUUAAACAGAUCCAGAGUUAGUCGAUCCUAAUCUCAAUAAUGGGAGAAAGGGAGUACAGUUGAUAUUCUGUAACUGACAACAGUUCGCGGCAACGCAUACUAUUUUUCUCCGCCAAUCUUAUACCGUUGGUAGGGAUCUCUUUCCUACAUGACAGUACUAAUACCCAGGGAAACUGGUCAUCAGGCGAACUGCGGCGUUCUGCUGGCAAAACAUAGCUUCGGUUAUGUCAAUGGCUAUUGGAUUGGUCCAUGAAGCGAAAAAUAGUUUACUGUGUCACUCGUACCGAUAACCGCAUCAGGUCUUCUAGGUAAGUAGCCUAUGGCCAUUGAGGCAUGU
rnacentral:ncRNA from 1 species